rnacentral:rRNA from 1 species
UACAGGGGGGUGCAAACGUUGCUCGGAAUCAUUGGGCGUAAAGCGCACGUAGGCGGUUCGUUAUGUCGGAUGUGAAAGCCCUUGGCUUAACCGAGGAAGUGCAUCCGAAACUGGCGAGCUAGAGUACGAAAGAGGAUCGCGGAAUUCCCGGUGUAGAGGUGAAAUUCGUAGAUAUCGGGGAGGAACACCGGUGGCGAAGGCGGCGAUCUGGGUCGAUACUGACGCUGAGGUGCGAAAGCGUGGGGGAGCAAACAGG